CAAUAGCGUAUGCUAAAGUUGUUGCAGUUAAAAGGCUCGUAGUCGAUUUUGUGUCCGUGUGCGCUUGUCCCUGUCUCUUUGUAGAUUGUGUGAUUGAGCGCGCCGGUCUUUAGUCUGGUGCGUGGUGUGUGGUUCCUUGAUUGGUUCCACCACCGAAUGAAACGCAACUCCAGACCUUUUACUGUGAGAAAAUCAGAGUGCUCAAAGCAGGCUUUCACGCCCGAAUGGUUCAGCAUGGAAUAAUGAGAUAAGACUUUGGUCCUACCCCGUUGGCUCGAUGAACCAAAGUAAUGAUUGAAAGGGAUAGUUGGGGGUGCUAGUAUUGUAUGGUCAGCGGUGAAAUGCGAGGACCCAUACAAGACUAACUACUGCGAAAGCAUUCACCAAGGAUAUCUUCUUUGA
rnacentral:rRNA from 1 species